AACUUUGUAUGCUUUUGAAAUUAUUGACACUUAUGCAUUUGAAAUUAGAUUUUAUAAAAUAAUAAAAUAAAUUCUUUUGGUAGAGACAGCAGUUUGUGGGUAUCUGCGCCGGAAACCCUCACGAGACAAAACUCGUCCACUAGGGCCACCUAGGGGUUUAAAGCCUUAUUGCAUACGGUAAAUGCAAUCGCGAUUCCUGCGAAAGUGAGUUAGCUUUUAUUUUGCUCGAGGACUAGCAAAAUGCAGGUUUGGGGGGUGUGAUAAGUGCUAAAUAAUGAAUAAAUUUAUCUACGUUCCAUAGCACUUAUUAUUAUUUUUAUACACAUAUUUUAAAUUUAAACAUAAGAAAAUGUGUUUUCCUUCAUCAUUGCAUUUUAAUAAAUUAUUAGAAGUAAUUCGAGUUUGAUUUAAUUAUUUUGGUCGAGUCUAAUGUAUGCAGGUCGGGCCGAACUCAGUUGGGAUAAUUCCUGAACCCAAACCACAUGCACCUCCUGCAUCUAAGGAUCAAGCUUCCAUCUUUGCGGUCCAGCGUCUAGAUCAUGUAUUCCUUCCACGAUUCAGCUCAACGCGAGUUUCUUUCGUGUUUGCAGGGGUACCCGUGUCCACAUCGUCCUUUAAGUAUUUAGAGAUCAAGCUUCCACGUAAUCCACCCCUGCCUCAAAACAGAACUCAUUCCCAGCCGUCCGCAUACAAGCUCGUGUUCCAUCCUCUCCCACGACCAU
rnacentral:lncRNA from 1 species